UACAGAGGUCCCGAGCGUUGUUCGGAAUCACUGGGCGUAAAGGGUGCGUAGGUGGCGCCAUAAGUCGGGUGUGAAAUCUCGGGGCUUAACUCCGAAACUGCAUUCGAUACUGUGGUGCUUGAGGACUGGAGAGGAGACUGGAAUUCAUGGUGUAGCAGUGAAAUGCAUAGAGAUCAUGAGGAAGACCAGUGGCGAAGGCGGGUCUCUGGACAGUUCCUGACACUGAGGCACGAAGGCCAGGGGAGCAAACGGG
rnacentral:rRNA from 1 species